UACGUAGGCAGCGAGCGUUGUUCGGAGUUACUGGGCGUAAAGAGUGCGUAGGCGGUUUUCUAAGUUUGGUGUGAAAUCUCCCGGCUUAACUGGGAGGGUGCGCCGAAAACUGGAAGGCUUGAGUAUGGGAGAGGUAAGCGGAAUUCCUGGUGUAGCGGUGAAAUGCGUAGAUAUCAGGUGGAAUACCGGUGGCGAAGGCGGCCAAUUGGCCCAACACUGACGCUGAGAUACGAAAGCGUGGGGAUCAAACAGG
rnacentral:rRNA from 1 species